rnacentral:rRNA from 1 species
UAGUCUGGUGCCAGCAGCCGCGGUAAUACGGGGGAUGCAAGCGUUAUCCGGAUUUAUUGGGCGUAAAGCGCCUGUAGGUUGUUUAAUAAGUCUGUUGUUAAAGACUAGGGCUUAACCCUGGGAAAGCGAUGGAAACUGAUAAACUUGAGUAUGGCAGGGGUAGAGGGAAUUUCUAGUGUAGCGGUGAAAUGCGUAGAUAUUAGAAAGAACACCGGUGGCGAAAGCGCUCUACUGGACCAUUACUGACACUCAGAGGCGAAAGCUAGGGGAGCGAAAGGGAUUAGAUACCCCUGUAGUCCUAGCCGUAAACGAUGGAUACUAGAUGUUGUGUUUUUUAUACAGUAUCGUAGCUAACGCGUUAAGUAUCCCGCCUGGGGAGUACGCUCGCAAGGGUGAAACUCAAAGGAAUUGACGGGGGCCCGCACAAGCGGUGGAGCAUGUGGUUUAAUUCGAUGCAACGCGAAGAACCUUACCAGGGCUUGACAUACUACAAAUCUUUUCGAAAUGAAAGAGUGCCUUCGGGAAUGUAGAUACAGGUGGUGCAUGGCCGUUCUU